UCUCUUGUCAAUGAAGUGGAGCAUGUAGUAAGGUUCAUGAAUCAAAAACUUGAAUGAAAAAUGGAAGCACGAUAAUAAAAAUGUUGAGUUUAGAAUUGGUUUAAAUAACUGUGUGUGAAGUGAUAACCUGAAUCAAAUGCUCUGUGUUUGGCAAAAAUAAACUCUUAUAGAAAUGCUCAUUGUUUUAUUAUGAUGCAUUUCAUUUAUGGCAACUUCCCUCCUUUUUUUUCCUCUUGAAAUAAUUAUGGCUUAAAAUUAAUACGAGGAUAAG
rnacentral:misc_RNA from 1 species